rnacentral:rRNA from 1 species
CAGCCGCCGCGGUAAUACGAAGGGGGCUAGCGUUGCUCGGAAUCACUGGGCGUAAAGGGUGCGUAGGCGGGUCUUUAAGUCAGGGGUGAAAUCCUGGAGCUCAACUCCAGAACUGCCUUUGAUACUGAAGAUCUUGAGUUCGGGAGAGGUGAGUGGAACUGCGAGUGUAGAGGUGAAAUUCGUAGAUAUUCGCAAGAACACCAGUGGCGAAGGCGGCUCACUGGCCCGAUACUGACGCUGAGGCACGAAAGCGUGGGGAGCAAACAGGAUUAGAUACCCCAGUAGUCCCUGUCUCUUAUAC